AGAGUUUGAUCCUGGCUCAGGAUGAACGCUAGCGGGAGGCCUAAUACAUGCAAGUCGAACGGCAGCGGUUGUAGCAAUACAAGCCGGCGAGUGGCGCACGGGUGAGUAACGCGUACGCAACCUACCCCUUACCGGGGCAUAGUCACGGGAAACUGUGAAUAAUUCCGUAUGAGGUUGAGUUUCCGCAUGGGAGCUUUACCAAAGUCUUCGGGCGGUAAGGGAUGGGCGUGCGUCUGAUUAGCUAGUUGGCAGGGUAACGGCCUACCAAGGCUACGAUCAGUAGGGGGCGUGAGAGCGUGGCCCCCCACACGGGUACUGAGACACGGACCCGACUCCUACGGGAGGCAGCAGUAAGGAAUAUUGGUCAAUGGUGGGAACACUGAACCAGCCAUCCCGCGUGCAGGACGAAGGCCCUCUGGGUUGUAAACUGCUUUUACCAGGAAAGAAACGAGUGGACUUGUCCGCUCCUGACGGUACCUGGGGAAUAAGCACCGGCUAACUCCGUGCCAGCAGCCGCGGU
rnacentral:rRNA from 1 species